UACGUAGGGGGCAAGCGUUGUCCGGAUUUAUUGGGCGUAAAGAGCGUGUAGGCGGCCUGGUAGGUCAGCUGUGAAAACUCGAGGCUCAACCUCGAGACGCCGGUUGAAACCAUCAGGCUAGAGUCCGGAAGAGGCGAGUGGAAUUCCUGGUGUAGCGGUGGAAUGCGCAGAUAUCAGGAAGAACACCAACGGCGAAGGCAGCUCGCUGGGACGGUACUGACGCUGAGACGCGAAAGCAUGGGGAGCAAACAGG
rnacentral:rRNA from 1 species